UACGGAGGGGGCAAGCGUUGUCCGGAAUUAUUGGGCGUAAAGAGCGUGUAGGCGGUCCGGUAAGUCAGCUGUGAAAGUCAAGGGCUCAACCCUUGAAAGCCGGUUGAUACUGUCGGGCUAGAGUCCGGAAGAGGCGAGUGGAAUUCCCGGUGUAGCGGUGAAAUGCGCAGAUAUCGGGAGGAACACCAAUGGCGAAGGCAGCUCGCUGGGACGGUACUGACGCUGAGACGCGAAAGCGUGGGGAGCAAACAGG
rnacentral:rRNA from 1 species